rnacentral:tRNA from 1 species
AGCGGAUUUGCCAAGUGGUAAGGCGCAUGGCUUUGACCCAUGUAUUCGGCAGUUCAAAUCUGUCAUCCGCUGCCA